rnacentral:rRNA from 1 species
AAUGAACGCUGGCGGCAGGCCUAACACAUGCAAGUCGAACGGAUCCUUCGGGAUUAGUGGCGGACGGGUGAGUAACGCGUGGGAACAUACCCUUUGGUACGGAAUAGCCUCGGGAAACUGGGAGUAAUACCGUAUGUGGUCGAGAGACGAAAGAUUUAUCGCCAAAGGAUUGGCCCGCGUUGGAGUAGGUAGUUGGUGGGGUAAUGGCAUACCAAGCCGACGAUCCAUAGCUGGUUUGAGAGGAUGAUCAGCCAGACUGGGACUGAGACACGGCCCAGACUACUACGGGAGGCAGCAGUGGGGAAUCUUAGACAAUGGGGGAAACCUUGAUCUAGCCAUGCCGCGUGAUCGAUGAAGGCCUUAGGGUUGUAAAGAUCUUUCAGGUGGGAAGAUAAUGACUGUACCACCAGAAGAAGCCCCGGCUAACUCCGUGCCAGCAGCCGCGGUAA